rnacentral:rRNA from 1 species
GAUGGUCACCCACACUGGGACUGAGAUACGGCCCAGACUCCUACGGGGGGCAGCAGUCUAGAGGCUUCCACAAUGGACGAAAGUCUGAUGGAGCGACGCCGCGUGCGGGAUGAAGCCUUUACGUGUGUAAACCGCUGUCAUCGGGGAAGAAUGCUCUGAUGGUGAAUCAGAGAAGGACGGUACCCGAGAAGGAAGCCCCGGCUAACUCCGUGCCAGCAGCCGCGGUAAUACGGAGGGGGCAAACGUUGUUCGGAAUUACUGGGCGUAAAGGGUGCGUAGGCGGUUUGAUAAGUCUGAUGUGAAAUCCUGUGGCUCAGCCACAGAACUGCAUUGGAAACUGUCAAGCUCGAGGAUGAGAGAGGCUGGUGGAAUUCCUGGUGUAAGCGGUGGAAUGCGUAGAUAUCAGGAAGAACACUCGUGGCGAAGGCGGCCAGCUGGCUCAUUUCUGACGCUGAGGCACGAAAGCCAGGGGAGCGAACGGGAUUAGAUACCCCGGUAGUCCUGGCCAUAAACGGUGAACACUAGACGUCGGGGGUAUCGACCCCCUCGGUGUCGCAGCAAACGCAUUAAGUGUUCCGCCUGGGAAGUACGACCGCAAGGUUGAAACUCAAAGGAAUUGACGGGGGCCCGCACAAGCGGUGGAGUAUGUGGUUUAAUUCGACGCAACGCGAAGAACCUUACCAGGGCUUAAACUGCAGGGUAAACCUCCUGAAAAGGGGGCUGCUUCGGCGAUCCUGUAGAGGUGCUGCAUGGCUGUCGUCAGCUCGUGUCGUGAGAUGUUGGGUUAAGUCCCGCAACGAGCGCAACCCUUGUCGUUAGUUACCAGCGGAUCAUGCCGGGGACUCUAACGAGACUGCCGUCGUAAGGCGGAGGAAGGUGGGGAUGACGUCAAGUCCUCAUGGCCCUUAUGUCCUGGGCUACACACGUACUACAAUGGUCGGUACAACGGGCAGCGACACUGCGAGGUGAAGCAAAUCCCUUAAAGCCGGCCCCAGUUCAGAUUGCAGUCUGCAACUCGACUGCA